rnacentral:rRNA from 1 species
CCUACGGGAGGCAGCAGUAGGGAAUCUUCCACAAUGGGCGAAAGCCUGAUGGAGCAACGCCGCGUGGGUGAAGAAGGUCUUCGGAUCGUAAAACCCUGUUGUUAGAGAAGAAAGUGCGUGAGAGUAACUGUUCACGUUUCGACGGUAUCUAACCAGAAAGCCACGGCUAACUACGUGCCAGCAGCCGCGGUAAUCCGUAGGUGGCAAGCGUUAUCCGGAUUUAUUGGGCGUAAAGGGAACGCAGGCGGUCUUUUAAGUCUGAUGUGAAAGCCUUCGGCUUAACCGGAGUAGUGCAUUGGAAACUGGGAGACUUGAGUGCAGAAGAGGAGAGUGGAACUCCAUGUGUAGCGGUGAAAUGCGUAGAUAUAUGGAAGAACACCAGUGGCGAAAGCGGCUCUCUGGGCUGUAACUGACGCUGAGGUUCGAAAGCGUGGGUAGCAAACAGGAUUAGAUACCCCAGUAGUC